CGGGAGACACACGGCGGGUGCUAACGUCCGUCGUGAAGAGGGAAACAACCCAGACCGCCAGCUAAGGUCCCAAAGUCAUGGUUAAGUGGGAAACGAUGUGGGAAGGCCCAGACAGCCAGGAUGUUGGCUUAGAAGCAGCCAUCAUUUAAAGAAAGCGUAAUAGCUCACUGGUCGAGUCGGCCUGCGCGGAAGAUGUAACGGGGCUAAACCAUGCACCGAAGCUGCGGCAGCGACACUAUGUGUUGUUGGGUAGGGGAGCGUUCUGUAAGCCUGUGAAGGUGGCCUGUGAGGGUUGCUGGAGGUAUCAGAAGUGCGAAUGCUGACAUAAGUAACGAUAAAGCGGGUGAAAAGCCCGCUCGCCGGAAGACCAAGGGUUCCUGUCCAACGUUAAUCGGGGCAGGGUGAGUCGACCCCUAAGGCGAGGCCGAAAGGCGUAGUCGAUGGGAAACAGGUUAAUAUUCCUGUACUUGGUGUUACUGCGAAGGGGGGACGGAGAAGGCUAUGUUGGCCGGGCGACGGUUGUCCCGGUUUAAGCGUGUAGGCUGGUUUUCCAGGCAAAUCC
rnacentral:rRNA from 1 species